CAAGGAGACUCAUAUCUAAGCAAGGAAACAGGAAGUAUGCCUUUUUCCCCCCCUGCUCCUUCUCCAGCAGCAAGAUGUGAUCCCAGCAAGGAGGGACGCCAAUAAGGUGUCUGAUAAGAUAAGUCUUAUAAAAUAUAUAGGCUUAUGAUAGUUAAGACUGAGUUAGCAGAUGAGAAGUCCUAGUCAUUGGCCAAGCAGCUUUGAACCUAAUACAAGUUUCUGUGUAUUCAUUUGGGCCUAACUCGGGCAGGAGGCUGGCGUAAAGCUCACACGUGGCGGUGGGGCUCAGGCGGCAUUUGGCAGAAAGAUUUAUUGUAACAGGCAUUCUACGGUAAUGAUCACCUUCAACCUUCCUGUACUGACAAAUGAAGUAGACUCCCAAGCAAAUGUUUAAGCCAUGCUGAGAAGAGAUAGACUGGCACACAGGCCUUAUAGCUCUGAUUUGCUGUGAGUUUAAGAAGCUUCAUCCUAAGCAAGGAAGUAAUAGAAGAACUCUUUAUUCCUUCUUCCCACUUUGUGUAUCAUAUUGAACAAGGGUUUCCCAGUACAUAAGAUGGUUGCAAACAUAAUAUUUCUAUAAACACCCAAAGAGUCUUAGAGAGCCCUCAUCCAGUGACUGAUGGAAGCAGAGGCAGACAUCCACAGAUAUACACUGAACUCUGGAACUUAGUUGCAGAGCGGGAGGAAUGAAGAUCGAAGGGGUUGGUACCAGGCUGGUGAAACCCACAGUACCAGCUAGCCUGAACAAGGGGGAACACAUGGACUCCAGAUGCUGUCUGGGAGAGCAGCACAGGACUGAUCCAGACCCCUGAACAUGGAUGCCAAUGAGGAGGCAUCUGCACCCUAAGGGGCCCCUGGUAGUGGUUUAGGAUUUUUCCCUGGUGUAAGAAGGGACUUUGAGAGCCCAUCCCAUGUGAAUGGAUGCACUCUUGCCCUGGGCACAUAGGGAAGGGCCAAGGCCCAGCCUAGGAUGAUGUGGUGGACUUUGCUGAGCCCCCCAUUGAGGGCCCUACCCUGCAUGGGGAGUGGAGAGUGGAUGGGUUUGGGGGGUAGGUCGGGGGGUGGGGGAGGAGGGUGCGGGUGAGGGGAGGGAGAGGGAGAACGGAUUGACAUGUGAAACAAACUUGUUCCUAAUUUGAACUAAU
rnacentral:lncRNA from 1 species